GGGGGACACCUCCCCAGUCCUGCAGAGAGACCGUUUUAGAUUGGACACGGUUCAAGAAGGCAAAAGCACAAAGGCUGUGGUGUGAAAUGUUAAUUUGUGUUUUUUAAGUCAUUGCAUUCCAUUGUUUGUUUUGUGUGCGUUUGUUUUGAGAGGGAGCAGCCCAGUGUCGCGGCAGACGUGUGCGUCUGAGUUGUGUAGUGGUGUGGGCGUCUCGGCGUUCUCAUGUUGGGUUUUCCUCCUUUUUUAUGUUUGUUUGGUUUUGUUUCUUUGCUUUCAAUGUCAUUGUAAGAGGCUUAUUUUCAUAAAAGAAAUGUCAACUGUAUGCCAUAAUAAACCAGCGAUUCCAAUUUUGAGCCGAGGCAGGCUAGUUUCAUCUGGUGACGAUGACUGGAUCUCUUGACUGACAAUUAAGUCAACUGGCAGUUUGCUUGUUGUCAAUGCGACAUAAAUCAUCUCUAUUGUUCUUCGGGCUCAAAAUAAAAUGUGUAUCUCUAGCUAAUCGGUAAUCUGAAACUAAAUAAAUUCAACCACAAAAAUGUAAAGUUUGCUUUGGAAAUGUUCAACUCAACCCUUCGGUCAGCACUAAAGGUCAAAGGGCGACAGUCACAUGGUUACACAGCGGCUGAAUCCUAGGGCGACUUGAAAACAUAAUUCAAACGCGAGCUGAUUGUAAUUCAAACUAACCAUCCACAAGUCAAAACCUAACGCCCACAACCAAUUCUCCCUACUUACUGACUGCAGGGUCAGGGUGGGAGGGGGCCCACCCUGACCGUGUACACACUGCUGCCCCCCCCUUCACCUGCUAGUUGCCCUGCACUCGGGACACUGUGACCUCCGUCAAUCUCUCGGAUAUCUCUCAGACAGAAGAAGGUGGUGUCCCCGCAUCCGCAUAUCGAAAGCAACAAGGUGCCCACUGUGUAGCUCUGUGACGGGGACUUUGUAAAGUUGUUCAUGUAUCUUAAGAAAACAUAGGAGUUAGAGAUUGUUUUUUGUUUACAGUCGUUGGUGCUAACGGAAAAAAAGGUUUGCUUGCAUUUGAUAAGAUUACGAUUAUGGUUCACGGUUUGUGGAUGUGAUGUGGGUUUAGAACAGUUGACUCGUGGGAAAUGUAGUGUGGUGCAACACAUGUCAAAACAAGUAAGCGUUGAAUAUUUGUGCCCUUUUGUUUUCUGUGGCGACGCUUAAUGGCUUCUGACAGCAUUGUUCAAUAUGAACAGACGUUGAACACAGCCCACCUCAACAUGGCUGCACAGAAGAGAGGAAAUGUGUUGCAUGCCUUGUGUUUUGCAUUCCACCUCUACCAGACAACUGGACCAGAAAUGCCAUUUUAAGGUGACUAAAGAAUAAAUAGUUGGUUUGGCCUCGGAAAUGAAGAAAUUAAACAAAAUGUAGGCCUACUGUGUUUUUUUUUUUAUAGUUUUAUUUUUAUCCAAGAUGAAAAUAUAAAUGCUAGUAUUGCUUCUUUAAAAAGCAGCUGCCGCCUUGGAACUUGGUGGUUGCCGUUGUAAAUGUGGUUGACACGUGGUGCCAAAGGUGUAGCCAAACAUAAGCACCGAUGAUGGAGAUGCCGUGAGGGACGGGGUGUGUGUACCAAGACUGGGAAGUCCUCAACCUUCCCGCCCUGACAAGUCGACACCACCCUGUUGAGCGAGGGACUGACCAAGAUGUCAGUCCAGGCGUUGACCUAUUUUAUUUUGUUUUUGCGCCAAUUACGCUCUAUGCUCUCCUACCGUGGAACCCCUCCUCUACUGUAACACGAUGUUGUCUCGUGGUCCUAUGGUUGCCAUCCGGUCGCCCUCCCUCUUUUUGGUGUCUUUGCUCAUCCUGAAGCUCACAGCCUUCCCCCUCUCCUCUCCCUCACUGCUUACCCCUGAUAGGCCUUCUAGGUUUCUGAUCAAUCAUUCCCUGCUCCUGUGAUCCCGGUUAUAUAGACGGUUACGAUACAAAACGAUGUAAUCCACCAUACCCAACCCUGUACUCCAAUGCAUUGUGUGCGCGUUCCAUCCUAAAUGGGUUUGUUUUGAUAUAUUUUUUAACAAAAAAAGUUGAUGACCGCGUGUACACUCACCUGUUCACGGGGUGUCCGAUUGGAGAAUACGAUGGAGUCUGAGGACCUGACGUCAUUUCUUGUUGCCCUGUUACAGCACUUCAAAUUGUACUUAUGAUUCUGCAGAUUCAAUAAAAUGUCUUUUUUUUUCUCAGACUAUUUGUCUCUGCGACGUCAUGCGUUGGGGUGUUGCAUCUUGACCGAAUGCAAUUCUGAGUUCCAUACAUUCAGGAACAUCAAUUAUCAGUUAACAUAUUCUUAUUCUAUAGUCUAAUUAUAUUUCUUAAGUGAGCAGUAUGGCUUUACGUGAAAUACACGGAUAGAUCGCGUCCCUAGCAGCGCUCAUCUGUACUGCAGACGAAGGGAUUGCAAUGCUUUAUCAUUUGGCACAAGAUAGGCUUAUAAUGCAUGAACAAUGCAGUAGUAGGAUGACGUGAGGCCAUGCCAAUGCACACACUUAAUGUGCAUUGGUAUUCACCGAAUGGCCUACUCCCCAUCCGACUUGACCUGGACUCAUCUGGCUGUGGGGAGGAGGGGGGGGAGGCGAGGAGCUUCUGCAAGGGCUUGUUUCCGAUCUGUGCCGAUCUACGUCGGGGUCUUUCACACGUCGCGGAUCGCCGGUUUUUUCCUCCGCAUCCUUCGCGUCCUCACACAUUGUCAUCAUGGUGGACAUUUUGAUGUUGAUGUUUUUCGCUAUCAUGGCGCUUGUAUUUCUGUCCUACAUCAUAUACAUGUUGUGAUGGGAGAGAUGAGGAGCGAGUGGAUGGGAGGAGACGGAAGAAGAAGAUGAUGAUUGGGGAACCUCCGGCGGUCCUGCUUCGCAGCACGGACAAUGGGCGGAGGGCUUGUCCUUAAUGAAGUUCACCGGGUGCUCGAAGGGGACCCCAGAGAAAGUGGGAUCCCAGAGCAAGUCGGACCCCAGAGCAAGUAGGAACCCAGUGCAAGAGGAAGACGAUAAUGAGAAAAGCCGGACACUUAAUAGACUCCCACCACUGUUUUCUUGAAUCUCUUUCUGUGUAGGCUACUUCUGCCGUUCGACCACGAGAUAUUAUCAUGUCCUUGCGUUAUUUAAUCCGGAACCUAUGGAAGAAAACACAAUAUCUGUCUAUUUUAUGUAUUACAGAAGUAUAAAUCGUCCUUUUGAUGCCACUAUGAAUUAGCUGUCGCUUACAUGGACUGGCUGCAUUCCCCUGCGCAUGCGUCGUUUCUUGUAGGCUGGUUUCUUACCCUGUUUUUCCUUAGUAUUAUAUUGUCCAUGGACUGUCUAACUGUUUGGUUUCCACGGGUCUGAUAUGUGUCACAGUCACGUUGCUUUGUCCAAGUAUUGCCAUACUGGUGAUGACUUUCAAAUCCUAAUGGUAUGCUAUCCAUCUCAGUCAUUUAUUGAGAAGGGGAAGUAAGUCACAGUGAAAUAUCUCGACGUGGCUCCUAUAUGAUCACUGGGCUAUAGUAUUGGAUUAUAAUUGUGAUUUAUUAGCUUCACUUAUGUUCAGCCUUUCACAUGUCAAACAGUACGUGUAGGCCUUAUCCUGCCCAUCGUAUGAUAAUUCAUAAAAAUAAAAAUGCACAAUGAAUCGCUUUUGGUUUUGCGUUUCAGUCCUGAUUAUGUGGUUUUACUAAAGUACAAGAUGAUGUGAGCAAAUUAAAGAAUGAUUUGAUUUAA
ensembl:lncRNA